UUCAAUUAAAAAAUUUCCUAAAAGAGGAAGAGAAAAUUGAAAUAAAGAAGUUAAUUGUGAAAAUAUAAGAACAAAUUUAAAGAAGCAAAAAAAAAAGAGAAAAUAAUCAAAAGAAAAAAAAGCACAAUCCUUUAUUUUUUCGUGUUUUUCAGUUAUAAAAUUAUAAUUAAACAUCAUAAAGGAUAUUUUUAUAUAAAGGAAUUGUUAAUAUAAUAUAAGGAUAUUAUGUAUAUGUAUAAAUUAAUAUUAUAUCACAAUAUAAGACAUUUACAAAGUAAAAUGGCAUCUAAAUAACAGUAAAAUUUUAUGAAUUAAUGACAAAGAAAAAUUUAUUUUUUUUUUUUUUUUAAAUGGAAAUCAUAGUAGUUAAAGAUUGAAGUAAAAAAACAAAGUAAAACUAUAUAGAAGGAGAAACAAAGGAGGGAGAGAGAAAAGGAAUAAAAAGUAACAGAAGAAGAAGAAGACAAGAACAAAAAAUUUUUAAUGUCAUUUAAAUCCUUUAAAGUUAAUUACUACUAAUUUCUUCCUGAUGUAAAUUGAGAAAAUUUUUAUUGAAAAAAUUUAAACAAAAUAAAAUUAAGGAAAAGUACGAGUAAAAAAA